rnacentral:rRNA from 1 species
GUCUAUGCCCAUGCCACCCUGAAGGCACCAAAUUUCAUCUGAUCUCGGAAGCUAAGUAGGUUCAGGCCUGGUUAGUACUUGGAUGGGAGGCCUCUUUGGAAUAUCGGGUACUGUAGGCU